AAAUACUUUCAAGUUCAAGAAUUUCAUUUAUCCUUGAGAUGGAGAAAUCCAGAACUGAUGGAGGAAGAAUCUGGUUUCUUUGUGGGCUUCUUGGGACAUUUUUCUUACUUUCUUGCUGCACCAGUGCAGAUGCGGCCAUAGAAGUCUCAGACCCAACAGGAAAUGUUAAUUUGAGCCCGUUUCAGCAAUGGAGAAGUGCUUACGAGUGAUUGUUAAAUGUGUCAAACAGUUGUCCAGAUAAGUACCGGCUGACAGAAGGGGGUUGGAUUAAUGUGACAAAAGCCGACACAGCGACAUAUUGUACGAGAGGGUGCGCAGACCAUAUACCCGGGCAGUGCUGAAGUGCAUUCAUCUAGUGAAGCAGGACUACAAGUUCAUCAACGGGGCCUCGGUGCAGGAUCUCAAUGGGACUAUUACAGUCGGGUGUAAACACGGUUUCACUGAAGCAACUAUAGUUUCAAGUGCCACAAAGUUAUAUGAAAGCGUACAUUCAAUUUUCUUCUCAGCUGUAUCAACCCUGCUUCGGGUUCAGGUUGUGGUGUUCAACAAAUAAACUAUUGCCACAACAUAUUCUAUU